rnacentral:lncRNA from 1 species
UCUUUAAAACGUUCAAAUGUUUCUGAAUCUAUUGCUUGUAGUUUGUCGAUUCUCGUUCCUCCACUUUUCACAUCUUUCUUCCACUGUUCCAAAUAAUCUUUUCUUUUUAAGCGAUGUCCACCCAUUUUAUGGAGAGUCUGCAAAUUCCAAUGUGGAUGUGCUUCAGCAAGGGCAACAACUUUUGCUUUGUAUUCCAAGGGAAUAUAAUCUGAAGGAGGCUGUGAAUAAUCACUUGGAUUGUAUUCGUCAUCCAUUGUAGGAUCGUCUGUGCACUAUCAGGACAUUAAAUAUUAUUUAAAAAAUUUUAUAUUUAUAGCUAACAUGAUAUUCACAAAACAGAAGGAAAAC